AAAGAGAGAAGAGUAAAAGAAAGUCCUCAGAAGAAAGAAAUGCUCAGGAACUAAGGGUGCAGAUUUGAAGUGUAUGCCCAGCCACCAGUGAAGACCUGCGGCUCAACAGAGAAAAAUGGAAGCUUUGGUCCCCAGUCGCUCCGGCGAAGAAGCAAAGAUCACCGCAGUCUGAUUUUUACAGACUCCGUACCACUGUUGCAGCCUGUGAUUCUGAGGUGCAAAAUUGGCCAGCCCAGAGAGAGCAGAAUGGACCAAUUGCUUCGGCUUUAAUUUCCGGUGCUUUACAAAGGCUGAGCUGAAGGCUGCACCACCAGAAGCUUGGAAUUUGCCUGGCCUGCUGGAUGGAGAGAGUCUGACUCGGAUUCUGGGGGCUUGGAAAGACAGUCAAAAGACUCUUCCCUUCCCUGAAAUAGCCACGCAUUUGUUUAAAGACCUGAAACCAUUCUGAUGCUGGAAUUUCCCUCUGUGUUUAUGUUCACAUCUGGGUGAUGGUCUUCUGCCACUGGAGGACUUUUAGUGAAUCACUUCAGAGUUUGCUUUUAAUGUUUCCCAGAUGAGAGGGGCUGGCACUCGUCUGUUUUCUGAGGCCUGACAGGGCAGGACUGACCGGGCUUCCCGGCUGGCCGCCUGGAGCUGUUCCUUGGGGGAAGUGGACAGGCAUUUCUUGUCUUUCUGGGAAACCUGCUCCUCUGAGCUCCUGAUCCCCGGGCUCUCUUUCCACAUGAGGAGGGGGAAAAGGUGGAAUGGAAUAUAAAUAAAAGAGAUAGACUAGUUUUAACUGGUCCAAGAUGUUACGGGCUGCGCUCUCGGUAGCCACUGGCAGCCGGCACCCCUCUGUGUUCCCAGGCUCUGGUUUGCGGUGUCACGGGCUCCAAGAGACAAGGCUGGUUGGGGUCGCUUCCAGAGGGCAGCCUGGGAAGCUCAGGAAGCUGUUGGCUCAGCUCAGGAGUCAUUGGCUGCCAGGUGCCUCCUGAUUGACGCCUGUUCCCAGGGCCCAGCGGUGGCCAGGGUCUCUAUGUCCACGUCAGGUCCGUGGUUCCCGCUUACUCUUAGCCUGACAGACAGGCUCCACUGCAGUCGCAUUUCUGCUCUGUGUCCCUCUAUCACGCCCCCCUCCACCCCCGAUACUCCAUGUUCCAGCCACAUCUCAUACAUUCUUUUGGGUGCUUUCUAGUUGUCCACACCCCAGAGCCCCCUGCACCCGGCUCUGCCCAGCUCUGAGCCCCAGGAGUCAGCUCACUAGGGGUGCAUCAUCCAGGCUCCCCUGCCUCGCCCUCUGGCUUCCCGCUGGUGUGGGCCUAUGGGGAGCACCACAGGAGCUCUGGGGGUAGGGGCAGGGGAGACAGAGGUGGAGGGAUUUAUUCCCCUGGCUCCCUCCCUGUGAGGUCAUCUCAGGCUGGCUGCGUGACUUGGAAGUCUCGCAUCCUCUUAAGGUGGCCUUCUCUACAUAGUUUUCUCUUUCUGCAUCUGGGUAACUGCUGCCUUCUUUCAUCCUUUUGGGUCCAGGGGUGGUACAGCACCUGGAAUCCCGCACUACCUUUUGUGGUUUUUCUGUAUCUUGUCCACACUUUUGUCAAUAGUCUGUUUGCUAAAUCCUUCUUGAAUUCUCUUAUUUGAGUGUUCCUGCUGGAACUCAGACAGAGAUAGAUAGAUAGAUAGAUAGAUAGAUAGAGAGAUAAUAUUAUUUUAUAUACCGGUACCGCUUUUCCCAUGUUUAUUCCCUCUACAAGAAUUCCCUUCUUCACCUUGGCUACCUGAUGAACUGCUUCUUAUCCUUCAAAACCCCAGUGAAACACCACCUCUGUGAAGCCUAUCUUGAGUUCUCCAUUAAAGUUCAUGACUUCCCCCUUGGCCUUCUAUCUCUCUAUGUGGUGUCAAUCAUGUCCAUAUACUUAACAUCCCCAUCCUAACCACUUGCUAAUCAGACAUGUCCAAACUUUCCCUCACCAAAAUUUUACAAAGUUUAAUUCCUUCCAAAUGUGAUAAAGUGACUGUCUAAAGGGCCUGCUUCAGUGCCUGGCCCAGAUUAGAUGCUCAAUAAAUAAUAGCUAUUAUCAGAAAACGUCAUACUAAAGUGUGAAUGGCUAUGUGUUUUAAUGCAUUAUCUCUUCCAGGAGCAGCUUACAUUUAUAAGGGACUUUUUGGCGUUAAUAGAGCCUCCAACAAAUCUCUACAUUGGCAGAGCGGGGUGGGGGAGUGUCAAGGGGUCUUCCUUUGGGGUUUCUCAAAUUAUGUUAAGUCUAAGGCCUCUCUGUCUGUAGGUUUGAGAAAACAGAGAAUCACUUCAGGUCAGUCUCCAGCACGUAGAGGCUGCUUGGAAAGGGGACAAGUUGCUCAAUAGUGGCCUGGGGGGAGAAGUGUCUAUGGAAAAAGACAGAUGUGACUGGACACAUCUCUGCUCGGCUAUUAUGCCCUUCCAGUGCUAAUGGAAUGUGAUUUUCUAAAUUGUGACUGGAUGACUUUCUUCUCUUGUGGUUGAGUUUGUAAUAACAUAGACUAUGACUCUAGUUUUGCCAAA